AGAUUGAACGCUGGCGGCGUGCUUAACACAUGCAAGUCGAGCGGUAAGGCCUUUCGGGGUACACGAGCGGCGAACGGGUGAGUAACACGUGGGUGAUCUGCCCUGCACUCUGGGAUAAGCCUGGGAAACUGGGUCUAAUACCGGAUAUGACCUGCUCUCGCAUGGGGGUGGGUGGAAAGAUUUAUCGGUGCAGGAUGGGCCCGCGGCCUAUCAGCUUGUUGGUGGGGUAAUGGCCUACCAAGGCGACGACGGGUAGCCGACCUGAGAGGGUGACCGGCCACACUGGGACUGAGACACGGCCCAGACUCCUACGGGAGGCAGCAGUGGGAAUAUUGCACAAUGGGCGAAAGCCUGAUGCAGCGACGCCGCGUGAGGAUGAAGGCCUUCGGGUUGUAAACCUCUUUCAGCGAGGACGAAGCGCAAGUGACGGUACCUGCAGAAGAAGCACCGGCUAACGUACGUGCCAGCCAGACCGCGGUAAUCGUAGACGCGGACUGGACCG
rnacentral:rRNA from 1 species